GAUGAACGCUGGCGGCGUGCCUAAUACAUGCAAGUCGAGCGAACAGAUGAGGAGCUUGCUCCUCUGACGUUAGCGGCGGACGGGUGAGUAACACGUGGAUAACCUACCUAUAAGACUGGGAUAACUUCGGGAAACCGGAGCUAAUACCGGAUAAUAUAUUGAACCGCAUGGUUCAAUAGUGAAAGACGGUUUUGCUGUCACUUAUAGAUGGAUCCGCGCCGCAUUAGCUAGUUGGUAAGGUAACGGCUUACCAAGGCAACGAUGCGUAGCUGACCUGAGAGGGUGAUCGGCCACACUGGAACUGAGACACGGUCCAGACUCCUACGGGAGGCAGCAGUAGGGAAUCUUCCGCAAUGGGCGAAAGCUUGACGGAGCAACGCCGCGUGAGUGAUGAAGGUCUUCGGAUCGUAAAACUCUGUUAUUAGAGAAGAACAAAUGUGUAAGUAACUAUGCACGUCUUGACGGUACCUAAUCAGAAAGCCACGGCUAACUACGUG
rnacentral:rRNA from 1 species